rnacentral:rRNA from 1 species
UACGUAGGGGUCGAGCGUUGUCCGGAGUUACUGGGCGUAAAGCGUGUGCAGGCGGCGCAUCGCGCCCGGCGUGAAAGCCCCCGGCUCAACCGGGGAGGGUCGUCGGGGACGGGUGCGCUUGAGGGUAUCAGGGGCAGGUAGAAUUCCCGGUGUAGUGGUGAAAUGCGUAGAGAGUCGGGAGGAAUACCCGUGGCGAAGGCGGCCUGCUGGGAUACACCUGACGCUGAGACACGAAGGCGUGGGGAGCGAACGGG